rnacentral:sRNA from 1 species
AGGCAUCGUUCAUUUGAAGGGGAAAAUGGUUUUAUGUGCUGCGCUUCAUCUGGCACCAGUGGUUGCCUGCUCCUCGUGGCAGGGCCGUGCUGGGUGUCACAGAGAGGAAGGAGACUCAUCUCCUGCCCACUGGUGUUUAGCUGCCCUCCCCCGGGCUUAUGGCUGCUAAUCCCACGGAACGAUACAGCUGCUGAAACUGUGGAAGAGGAAUCCAUUUCUGCUGCAUGAAGGGGCACAGACUUGAAUACAGUCAGCACAGGUUGUGGUUUCACUUGUAUAAUCCUGAGAGCUUGACAGCUUCGAGGAGUGUCUAACAUUGCUAGUAACAGAGCCUGGAAGCACCUGAAUUCCAGCUGUCACUUGGAGAGAGUCAUACGAACUGCGAGAGCAUAUAACCAGCAUGUCUUGAGUCUUUUACCCGUGUGCCUAUUAUAUGGGUGCUGCUGUUUUUGUAAGAUGAAAUGACCAUUGGAUAUUCUUGGUUAUGAUCAGCGUUUCUUCGUCUAGGCGAGAAAAGAAAUAGCAAUGCCAAGUGAGUACACCUAUGUGAAACUGAGAAGUGAUUGCUCGAGGCCUUCCCUGCAAUGGUACAGCCGAGCUCAAAGCAAGAUGAGAAGGCCCAGCUUGUUAUUAAAAGACAUCCUCAAAUGCACAUUGCUUGUGUUUGGAGUGUGGAUCCUUUAUAUCCUCAAGUUAAAUUAUACUACUGAAGAAUGUGACAUGAAAAAAAUGCAUUAUGUGGACCCUGACCGUGUAAAGACCUACACCGUGUCUUUAAAGGAAGCAGGGCCC